rnacentral:lncRNA from 1 species
ACAACAAAGUGUGCAUAUAAGAAGGGAAAAAGAAAAAGGAAACUUCUUAGCACCCAGCCACCAACUGAAGUCUUGUCUUUUAUACGAUUUAAAUUAUUUGAAAUACUCACCUUUUAAUUCAUAUUUUUAUAUAUCAUAGAUUAUAAUAUUACUAGUUUCCUUCUCUCUCUCAAAACCCUAGCCUCCCUAAUCUCCGUUGAAGAUUUUUGAAGGGGCUUCCAUCGGUUUUCACCGGUGGAAAGCCCCAAUUCCUUGUUUUCUGUGUUCUUGGUUUGAAAUCUUAUUUCCUAUUCAAUAAGUUCUCAAUUUAUUUGGGUUUUGUUUGUCUCUCCUUCUUGUGAGAGUUGGUUUGUUUUGUUUCGGUGUGUUUUGAUGUUCUUCAUGACCGAGGUUAUAGAUCGGCAUGAUUUUCAUGGGUUUGAUUCAGAUUUGAAGGUUAUUAUGGGAUCGCAUCUAUGGUCGAUUGUUCAGAACACUCAGAUGAAAACCAAUCAGAUGGAAACAAGUGUGUAUAUUCAAAUCAUCUUCAAAUCGCACGGUUGCCUCUCCAAGAAGGAAGGAUUCAACAGCGAUAUUAUUCAGCGUCUGUCCAAUUUCGAUUGUGUUUGUAGAUGCCGUAUGGCUUUUAAUUAAUGAAUUGAUUCCUUUUUAUCAAAAAAAAAAAUUCAUAUAUUUAUAUAUGAUACGUUCCAAGCUUUCCAAGAGG